AUUGAACGCUGGCGGCAGGCCUAACACAUGCAAGUCGAGCGGAUGAAGGGAGCUUGCUCCUGGAUUCAGCAGCGGACGGGUGAGUAAUGCCUAGGAAUCUGCCUGGUAGUGGGGGAUAACGUCCGGAAACGGGCGCUAAUACCGCAUACGUCCUGAGGGAGAAAGUGGGGGAUCUUCGUACCUCACGCUAUCAGAUGAGCCUAGGUCGGAUUAGCUAGUUGGUGGGGUAAAGGCCUACCAAGGCGACGAUCCGUAACUGGUCUGAGAGGAUGAUCAGUCACACUGGAACUGAGACACGGUCCAGACUCCUACGGGAGGCAGCAGUGGGGAAUAUUGGACAAUGGGCGAAAGCCUGAUCCAGCCAUGCCGCGUGUGUGAAGAAGGUCUUCGGAUUGUAAAGCACUUUAAGUUGGGAGGAAGGGCAGUAAGUUAAUACCUUGCUGUUUUGACGUUACCAACAGAAUAAGCACCGGCUAACUUCGUG
rnacentral:rRNA from 1 species